CAGGGCCUUUGCACAUGCUGGCCCUGCUACCUGGGAUACUCAUCCCUCCUGUCUUCUUUCAGAUCAUCCUUCAGAUCUCAGUGCUAAUGUGACUUCCACAGAGAGGACAUGCUUGACCAUCAUGGGCCACCCUGGUGGAGCACUUGCCUUGGUCAUAAUUAUGACGUUUAUAUGAUGAAUGUCUCCCUGACUAAACUGUAAGCUUCUGGAGAGAAAGGGCAACCUAUGUGUGGUUGACUUCCUGAUGUGUCCCUCGGGCUUAGCUCAGUGCCUGGCACACCACUAAUAAUUAAUAAAUAUUUAUUGAGUGCAUACAUUAAUAAAUGUUCCUAAAGGAAUUCUAGUCUUGCCAUUCCCCCUAGCAGCCCCAGCUCAGAUGGUUUCCCCAUUACUGCUGCUAUUGAGCCUUCAUACCCAUCACAACUCAUCUAAUUGCCACAGACAGUUAGGAUGAGGCCAGCAGAAACCAGACAUGGCAGUGAGGAGGAGCAGCCAAACUCCUGGGCAACUUAGGAGUAAUUCAUGCUUCAGCAGGGCCGAAACAGUCUUGGAAAAGAACAGAGUCAGAGGAGUCACACUUCCUGAUUUGAACUUACUACAAAGCUGCGGUGGCAUUCUGCGUCAAGACUAUGUGGUUCCAUCAAUGGAUUGGACUUGACAGUCCAGAAAUAAGCCCAUAUAUUUAUGGGUAAGUGAUUUUCAGUGAAGGUGUCAGGACAAAUCAAUGAGGAAAUAAUAAUCUUUCAACAAAUGAUGCUGGGACAACUGGAUGUCUAACAUGCAAAAGAAUGAAUUUACACCCCUUGACUAAAAUUAAGUCAAAAUGAUCAAAGACCUAAUGUAAGAGACUAUAAAACUGGCAGAAGAAAACAUACGGGUUAGUCUCUUUGAACUUGGAGGAGAUGCUUUCUUAGAUACGACAGCUAAAGCACAAUCAAUCAAUCAAUCAAUCAAAUUGGAUAUCAUCGAAAUUAAAAACUUUUGGGGCACCUGGGUGGCUCAGUGGGUGAGGGUCCUGGAAUGGAUGGAGCCCUGCAUUUGGCUCCCUGCUCAGAGGGGAGUCUGCUUCUCCCUCUGCCCUUCCCCCCAACUCAUGCUCUCUCUCAAACAAAUAAAUAAAAUCUUUUUAAAAAAAUUUAAAACUUUUGUGCUUCAAGG
rnacentral:lncRNA from 1 species